CCUACGGGCGGCAGCAGUGAGGAAUAUUGGUCAAUGGGCGCGAGCCUGAACCAGCCAAGUAGCGUGAAGGAUGACUGCCCUAUGGGUUGUAAACUUCUUUUAUAAAGGAAUAAAACGAGGCACGUGUGCCUUUUUGCAUGUACUUUAUGAAUAAGGAUCGGCUAACUCCGUGCCAGCAGCCGCGGUAAUACGGAGGAUCCGAGCGUUAUCCGGAUUUAUUGGGUUUAAAGGGAGCGUAGAUGGGUUGUUAAGUCAGUUGUGAAAGUUUGCGGCUCAACCGUAAAAUUGCAAUUGAUACUGGGAGGCUUGAGUACAGUUGAGGUAGGCGGAAUUCGUGGUGUAGCGGUGAAAUGCUUAGAUAUCACGAAGAACCCCGAUGGCGAAGGCAGCUUACUAAACUGUGACUGACAUUGAUGCUCGAAAGUGUGGGGAUCAAACAGGAUUAGAUACCCUGGUAGUC
rnacentral:rRNA from 1 species